UUGUGGCCAUAUCAUGUUGAAGCACCAGUUCUCAUUUAAUCAUCAAGUUAAGCAACAUCAAGCCUGGUCAGUACCUGGAUGGAUGACCACCUGGAAAUACCAGGUGCAGUA